UGAGUAACCUGCCCUGGACUUUGGGAUAACCCUCGGAAACGGGGGCUAAUACCGGAUAUGACGCACUCUCGCAUGGGAUGUGUGUGGAAAGUUUUUCGGUCUGGGAUGGGCUCGCGGCCUAUCAGCUUGUUGGUGGGGUGAUGGCCUACCAAGGUGACGACGGGUAGCCGGCCUGAGAGGGCGACCGGCCACACUGGGACUGAGACACGGCCCAGACUCCUACGGGAGCA
rnacentral:rRNA from 1 species